UUUCUUUUUGACGCUUUCAUGACUCUCAUUCAAAUAGAAAAAGCUUAAAAUUACUUGUAUUUAUGGGCACAAUCCAGGAUAUUUCAUGCAAAAACAGCAAAUCAGUUUUGGAGAAAGCAUAGGAAAUUGACUUAUGCAUGAUUCUGAUGAGAGACUAUGGUAUUUAAGACAGUUUUACAAACUUUUGAGUAACUUAUCUUGGCCGGGGUUUUGCUAGACUCAAAAUACUAGGCUGCAUAUCCAGGCCUUGUAUAAAGCCUGGCAGAUGAUUCUUGUUAUUGGAGAAAUAAUGCCAAGAAAUUACUGUGAGACUCAGCUGCCUUUCCUGCAACUGAGGUCUGAGAAGGCAGAGCUGGAGCCACGGGGUUGACAGUCUGAUAUUUCAGGCCCACUGCCAGGGGUACGUUGAUCCCGGGUGUAAACACUGCCCAUGGAGGGUUGUGCCGAGGUGGCAUGUUUACUAGGAACAGCAGAGGCCAGUGAGCUGGAGGAGAGCACCUGUCAUCGUUAAGAAGGAACAGGAAGUUCCCAGUGGGCUGAGCAGCAGCGUCAACCAAAGAGUGGACAGACUUUCCUGGGUUCAUUCUUCGUGGGUUGUGCUCACCUUCCCCAAACGCUUCCGCGUUCUCCACCUUAGCCAGCCACUCGCUCUUUCGUCAGGUGUGCAGGUCAUAAAAGCUGAGUGGAGCAGACUUUCUCUUUCCUGCUGGAAACAUGUCGUCAAGAGGGAUGCUUGUUGGAGAUGGAGGAACCACUAAGGAAACACUGCUGAAGAAUGAGGGGCAGCAACUACAUUCCAGUCACAUUGUUUGAUCACUGGAUCCGGCUGCUUCUGAAACAAACCUACUCUGGACUUUUCAAUUACCACUACCACAAGUCUGGCAAAAUGUGUGUCCUCAGCCAGUAGUUGCUGAAUGAAUGAAGAAGAGCAGAGCUCCUCUGUUGGGGGACUAACAUGGAGUCUGGACCCCACUUCCUUGGCCUUACCCCCGUCUCCCUGAGCCACCCUUGAGGUCCCACCAAGGAACUCCAGGGCUUGGCGGAGCACAGUGUGAAAGCUAGUGACAAAGCGACUUGUAAGGCCCUUCUGGUCCUAACAUCGUGAAGUUUGUCCUAGUGAUUUUUGCUGCUCCAGAAGGCUGGGUCUACAGGGCAGCUCCAAAGCACUUUGGAAGUGGAAAAACGAGUGCUGGCACCGAUGUGGGAACACUGAGAUGCACAAAAUGGUUUCCUUGAAGUGCGGGUGCUCAGCCGUAGGAGCAGCCGGCCUGACCAGUUUCUUCUGCCCUCAAUCUGCAGGCCCUCCUGUGUGUGAUCUCAUUGAAGUCUUUGCGACCGCCUGACAGGUGUGCAAACCCCUGCAGGACAGAAGCGCUUUGCAACAGAAACAGCUCUGUGUUAACCUCCUGCGCUGAGCACUCAGGCUUGAACUGCAUCCGAGCUCCUCCCCGCCCAGCAGGCCCUACACCAAUGUGUGCUGUGGGCGAGGCCUGGGGCUCCCCCUCCUCUUCUGGCCUGAGGUGCUGAGGUCCCAGGAUGCCUCGAGGCAGGGCCCACCCAAGGGAUUGCUUGAACAGACUUUCUAAUUUACUCAA